rnacentral:misc_RNA from 1 species
GACCCAUGGGUUCCAUGGUGUAGGUAAGGUUCCUGUGCCGUGUCGAGAAUGUGAUGAAGCGCCAGGAGUCGCCGGAGAGUAGUGACGGUUCGUCAGCCGUGGUUUGCGUGGUGCCGCCGGUGCGCCGCUCUCCCGCCGAGCCGCCCCUUCUCGUCGCCCAGUCUGGCCGCCCAGCCGAGCCUGGCGCGGCUGACGGCGCCUUAGACGGCAUCAUGUAGAACCAGCAUGGGUCGCUGGCGGCGGGCCUCGGCGCCUAUCCGGUGCACGCUGCCUACGGCGAGAACCUCUAGGUGAAGAGUGAAGGCGGCGGUGGCUCGUUGCAGUACUCUGCCGGCGCCAGCGAAGAACCGGCCUCUACCGCCGCUGGGCCGGUGCCGCACUCCUCUGCGCCCCAGCGACGGGAAGCCGCCGCCGCCGACGCCGAUGCCGGCGCUGUUCAGCCCAGCUACCACCGACUCAAGGUGGAAGACGUGCUCUCCUACCAGAACCAGGUCAAGUCCAAGUUCCAGAACAACCCACAGGUCCACAACGACUUCCUCGAUAUAAUGAAGGAGUUCAAGGCGCAAAAUACCUACACGUCUUGAUGAUGGCGCCGGGCUAGGUGACCACAGCGCGGUGCACACGCCCACUGGCGGCUUCCAGACCUACUCGGACACAGUGGUACCGACGCCGCCGCCGCAGCCCCAGCAGCAGCAGCCACCGCCACCGCCGCUGCCGACGGCGCCCGGCGCGCCGCCCAAACCGAGUCACCAGCGGCCACCGAGGAGUAGGUAUGGCACCAACAGGCAACAACAUCCUGUCGCACGCUGUGCGGCGGCGGCCGGCGUCGGGGGCCACCACGUCACCGCGCACCACUCGUACAACCAGCCGCCGUCGUCCGCGGGACGACCCAUUCACCUCCAGUGGGUCCCCUCGCAUUGCGGCCUUCCUGGAAAUGAGAGGGCAGACACCCUGGCGGAGGAGACCUCCGCCCUGGACCAGAACUCAGACACACACCACUGGACACCAGAACGAUCCAGAGAGCAGCGGCAAGGCUGGCGCGUGCGAGGACCAGAGCGGCCUGGCCCGACGGCUGGUAUCGCCAACUGCCGGUGUGGGCUCUGUCGUGAGGAAGCAGACACCUCGGCCCACGCGCUGAUGCGGUGUCCCGCCCUGGUGCAACUGCCGGUUCCGAGUGUUCGGAACUAUACACCCGACCCACGAGGACCUGCGCAGCAUCGACGCAGUAGCGGCCCUGGGUGCCGCCUUCGUCCCCCUCCAGAGCCGGCAGGAUACGCCCUAGGGCUGGAGGGAAACAACAACAACAACAACAACAACAGAGGACAUGAACCCACUUAAUGUGUUCAAACGCUACCGCGACAGCCGCAAGGUGCUCGAGUACCGGACGGAGCUGUUCAGCUCGUGUUGCGAGGUGCCAUCGGCGUGGUGCCGGCGCAAUAUGAGCACGGUACGCUGCCGUGCGCCAGCUGCCUCAGUCUGCUGGCCAGCCCGGUGAGACGGCACCUCGCCGUCGCCGCCGGACGCUCAGGUAGGAUCUCUGAGUGAUGUGCUGAGCUCAGCUUGAAUUGACCUCAGUCACCCAGCAGCGACUGGAGCGGUCCGAGCGAGCCCGUGUACCGCCGCCAGUGUUUGGUCGUGUUUGGGGCCGUACGGCGCGGGUGAUCUGUACGGGCGCGGCCGUAUCUUAUGUUACGUAUCGUAGCUAAGCACGACUUGACACUGUCCACCACGGGACCCGCCCAUGUUGACGGCGUCGCAAUGUACUCAUUGAUUGACUAGUGCUGCGCGACUGCUCGGAGUUGACCAGUUAACGUUUUGUAGGCUUUAUUAUCACUGGCGGAGGCGUGGGGACUGGGGAGUGUUUUCUAUUCGUCAGUGUUUGCCGAGGCGAGGCUGCUUAAUGCCGAUUGUGACAUGUUACUAUGUAUCCUCACGUGAAGUCGUUGGGUUAUCUAACUUGGUUCAUCAAUAAAUGGUGCGACCUACAAA